rnacentral:tRNA from 1 species
CCCUGAGUGGUGCAAAUGGUUAACACGAUUGGCUGCCAACCAGAUGGUUGGAGGUUCAAGUCCACCCAGAGGUA